rnacentral:misc_RNA from 1 species
UGCUCUAGCGGACUCUUUUCCUCCUCGCCCAGCGAUAGAGGUCGCCAGUGCUGCGAGGAGGACAGCCACGCAGCCGCUUCACGUGUGCGCUGCUUUCAUCCUCUUCCCUUGCCGCGUUCUGCACCCAAGUCGUGCACAGACGCGGGUCGGGGGGCCCCUUCAUUCUUUUCAUUCAGCCUUCGUGGUUCCCUAGCGAUGAGGCACACUGCUCAGUGCGUGGCAUCCAGGGCCCCGUGCACUUCCACUCGGGGUGGGGAGGCCAGGCCCCCCCCCCCCCCCCCCCCCUUAACCCAGCCAAUGUCGAGCCACCUCUGGUGGUGAUAGGGGCAAGUGUCUGUGACGUAGGGAAGGCUCGCGCGAUGUUUCUCUACUGGUGCUGGUGGCCAGGUCCUGGAUGGCGUUGCGUUGCGGCAACCUGCGACAGUGCACAGGUUUGUGCCGUUCACGUGCUGGACGGAGUACCGGCCCAAGUCGCAUGUACCCCGCCCCCGGCCCUCACACUUUGGCCGCUGGUGCUCGGAAGCCUGAGCCGCCCCGACGGGGAUUCACCACAUGGAGACCAGCAUGAUAGGGUGCGGCUGCGAGGCGACAUGCGAAGCAGGUGAGUGGCCAGAGUUUGAGGCAGGGGCCGGGCUCUCAGAUGGCCGAGUCGGCGCAUUGCUGUUGCACAUGUCGAGGGCUGCUUCGCACCACGCGGAUGGUGGCCUGUGACGGGGCCGGGCGGGGGAGGGGGAAGGAGGUCAGCGCGGUGUUUAACUAAUGCUGUACGGCGGUGAAGCGGACACACGUUGGCAAGACGUAAAACCCAAUUUGAGUGUUCUAUCUUUUGUCGCCUCUUUCCUCCAGCCGACUCGUGGGCUGGUCGCAUGCACUGUGGCAGGUCGGUGGUGACCGCGCUGCCGGGGUGCGAGUCGUGAAUUGCGGCCUUGCGCUGUCUGCGUUCAUGGGUCUAAUGCUGCAUUGGCCCAUCUGCGGUGAUAGUGAGGCAGGUGACGCCACGCUUUUGUUUUAUGUUUGUGCAUCCCUCAUUCCUAUGUAUGUGGGUGCUUGUGUGGAGCUUAUUUCCCCCUGUUGCCAGCUGAGGCUGGCUCGGGCGUUUUCGGCCUCCGUGUCUUUCUUUCCUCUCGCCCUGCCCCGCCUGUGGGCCCCCCUUCUCGGUCUCCCUUCAGGCUCUCACGCGUGGUUGCUCCUCCCCUUGCCGUCGUCCUUCUCGCGUAUCGUUUUUGGCUCUCGUCUGAUGUGCAUCGCCGUUGGUGGGUAUGUGCGCAGGCGAGUGGCUAGCCAGUAUGUGUGCCUGUGAAAGGAGGAGAGGCUGCGGCCUAUGCUAUGAAAGUGCACCAGCACGCCCACACGCAUCACUCGGGGACAGGACGAAUGCGCGGCGCUUUUGGGGCUCUGCAACACGACGCUAGUAGAUAGCAAGAGAUACAGCGCAGAUAGACAGCAAAGACACUUUUAUUCUUCUCUACGCGGUGAUGCGCGGAUGACGGAGUGUCGGCACUCGCGUCACUGCCGCGCAUAUUGCGGUUGCUGGAGCAGCUACCUGCCUGCCCCGUCGGGGGUUUGGAUGCUUUGGUCGCUGUUUUCGAAGUUACACUGCCCGUGUGUGCUGUGCGAGUCGCUGGUGGGCUUGAGUGCACAGCCGUGCGAAGAGUUGUGCUCUUUCGUGUUGCAUAUCGGCACCGAGUGGGUUUCUCUCGGAGGCGACUCUGCGCGCUGUCUCUGUUCACCAUCGCCGCUGUACCCCGCGGCAUGUGGCCCGCCUCCACUAGGCGAAAAGAGCGACCUCAUCGUAUCUCUCCGUAUCUCUCCGUUCUGUGUUUGCUCUCCACCAAUUCGUGUGCAUGUGCCUCAG